GUUCCGUCGCCAGCACGCAAAAUUUACCAUCGUUUGCAAAAAGAACGAGAGAUGGAUCAAAAGCCAGAUACAGCACAGCCGGUGAAACAGCAGCCCAUGAUUUACAUUUGUGGAGUUUCCGUGCUGAGACAUACUGUGAUAUUGGCGAAGGAUGCCAUGGUUUUAGAUAGUGGAGUGUAGCAAAG